GAGGCCUACGGGAGGCAGCAGUGGGGAAUAUUGCACAAUGGGCGAAAGCCUGAUGCAGCUACGCCGCGUGAGCGAUGAAGGCCUUCGGGACGUAAAGCUCUGUCCUCAAGGAAGAUAAUGACGGUACUUGAGGAGGAAGCCCCGGCUAACUACGUGCCAGCAGCCGCGGUAAUACGUAGGGGGCUAGCGUUAUCCGGAAUUACUGGGCGUAAAGGGUGCGUAGGAGGUUGCUUAAGUCAGAGGCGAAAGGCUACGGCUCAACCGUAGUAAGC
rnacentral:rRNA from 1 species